AACGAACGCUGGCGGCGCGCCUAACACAUGCAAGUCGAACGAGAAUCCGGGGCAACCCGGUAGUAAAGUGGCAAACGGGUGAGGAAUACAUGGGUAACCUACCCUUGAGAAGGGAAUAACCCGCCGAAAGGUGAGCUAAUACCCUAUACGCUAUCUUUUUUUCGAAAAGGAUAGGAAAGCCGGGUCGAGGACCUGGUACUCAAGGAGGGGCUCAUGUCCUAUCAGCUUGUUGGUGGGGUAACGGCCUACCAAGGCUACGACGGGUAGCUGGUCUGAGAGGAUGAUCAGCCACACUGGCACUGCGAUACGGGCCAGACUCCUACGGGAGGCAGCAGUGAGGAAUAUUGCGCAAUGGGCGAAAGCCUGACGCAGCGACGCCGCGUGGGGGAUGAAGGUUUUCGGAUUGUAAACCCCUUUCAUGAGAAAAGAUAAAGUGGGUAACCACUUAGACGGUACCUCAAGAAGAAGCCACGGCUAACUUCGUG
rnacentral:rRNA from 1 species